rnacentral:rRNA from 1 species
CAGUCGCCGCGGUAAUACGAAGGGUGCAAGCGUUAAUCGGAAUUACUGGGCGUAAAGGGUGCGUAGGCGGUUGUUUAAGUCUGUUGUGAAAUCCCCGGGCUCAACCUGGGAAUAGCAAUGGAAACUGGACGGCUAGAGUGUGUCAGAGGAUGGUGGAAUUCCCGGUGUAGCGGUGAAAUGCGUAGAGAUCGGGAGGAACAUCAGUGGCGAAGGCGGCCAUCUGGGACAACACUGACGCUGAAGCACGAAAGCGUGGGGAGCAAACAGGAUUAGAUACCCCAGUAGUCCCUGUCUCUUAUAC